rnacentral:misc_RNA from 1 species
UACGUAGGGGGCGAGCGUUGUCCGGAUUUAUUGGGCGUAAAGCGCACGCAGGCGGUCCGGUAAGUCGGAUGUGAAAUUCCGGGGCUCAACCCCGGGACGCCAUUCGAUACUGUCGGACUUGAGGCAGGUAGGGGAGAGUGGAAUUCCUGGUGUAGCGGUGAAAUGCGUAGAUAUCAGGAGGAACACCGAUGGCGAAGGCAGCUCUCUGGGCCUGUUCCUGACGCUCAUGUGCGAAAGCUGGGGUAGCAAACAGG